rnacentral:misc_RNA from 1 species
CGAAUGAAUGCUUGAAUCCAAAGAAAAUGAGGAAGGCAGAGGAGCCUGGUGAUAAUCAGUACACAGAGAAUAUGGAGAUUGGAAAUGGCCAUAACGACGUGCCUUUGGAAGGUUCAAAAGGCCACCUGAUGAUUGAUGGUGUGUGGAAGAAGGUUUCAAUAGAAGAGCUGCGUGAUAUUGCAGCAGCUGUGAAGAUUUUUGAUUUAACCAAAGCCUUGUGAGAUGCCUUGCAUGGGUUGAGGUGGAUUCUUACAGAGCAAAAUGAAAAGGGUUCUGUUUCUGUUGUAAAUCUGCCACCAGUUUUGUAGCUUGUAAUUUUCAAAUAUUUAAAUUUAUCUUUUUUACCUUCCUAACGAUGCUGUUAGAUUUUGUACUUAAUUAUACAUUUUUAGUUGUG